rnacentral:ncRNA from 1 species
GCGGCGUGCCUAAUACAUGCAAGUCGAGCGAAUGACGAGGAAGCUUGCUUCCUCUGAUUUAGCGGCGGACGGGUGAGUAACACGUGGGCAACCUACCUUAUAGUUUGGGAUAACUCCGGGAAACCGGGGCUAAUACCAAAUAAUCUCUUUUACUUCAUGGUGAAAGACUGAAAGACGGUUUCGGCUGUCGCUAUAGGAUGGGCCCGCGGCGCAUUAGCUAGUUGGUGAGGUAACGGCUCACCAAGGCAACGAUGCGUAGCCGACCUGAGAGGGUGAUCGGCCACACUGGGACUGAGACACGGCCCAGACUCCUACGGGAGGCAGCAGUAGGGAAUCUUCCACAAUGGGCGAAAGCCUGAUGGAGCAACGCCGC